rnacentral:lncRNA from 10 species
UAUACAAAAUAUAAGUAAAUAGGAAAAAGUAACUAUAGUAACAGUUGCUAUUGGAAUUCCUCUUUGGAUUUAUUAGAGAAAGUACCCUAAUAUCUGCCUUGGGUAUAGAUAGUGAAAGCCCAAGCAUUUUGGGUCUGGUUAGAACUAAACUGUAGCAAACAAGGGAGGAGUUUUUCAGGGACUCUGGAAUGGGAGAGAACACUGGGAUAACUGAGAGGAGCCAGGAGUUGGUGAAGUCUUUGCAUUAGGGGAUGUGACACUUCACAGGCACCCCUCUCCCCUAUGUUUUUACUAAAAACUACCAAGAACUUGAUGUGUAAGGAUUUCUUAUAGAGGCCAGUAAAAAGGUUAAGUCAUGCAACAGGAAGCUUUGCAGAAAAACAGUCUAUACCCAAGGAUGCAGGAGCACAGAAGUAGAGAACAUAAGGAGGAAUUCUUGAGAAUUUGCUGGAUUAUCGGGGACACUUCGGGCUGACACAGGGAGUGGGGCUGGGAUUAUAGGCAGAGUGUAAUCAGACCACUGAGGGGCAGAGAGUCUCUAACAUCUAAGUUACAUACUUAUAUUUUAAAUUUUUGUGAUUUUAGUUUUUGCUUGCUCCAUUAGAGUAGAAAAUAAGUAUUUGUUGAAUAAGUUAGAAAAAUGAAUGAAUGAAUGAAUUGCUUUCAGGACUAUGCCACAGAAUGUUAGAGUAGGAAAGGACCUUAAGGAUCUAUUAGUUAAACCUGUUGAGCAAUUAGUUCAAUGUUGUUAGGUAUUGAUCUCACUCCAAAGAUAAUAACCAUUAGCAGCAAUAACAACAGUCACUGCUAUGAGUGCCUACCAUGAAUCAGACAGUUUACAUUUAUAAUCUCUAUUUUUUUAAACCUUUCAAGAAAAGUGUCAUUAUUGCUACUUUUCAAAUAUGUUGUCCAAAGUUUCUCAAUUAGUAACCCAAAUCUGCCUGUUUCUAAGCCGGGGUGUGCCCACCUUUUUGGCUAUGCUUUUUCUCAGGUCAUUCCAAAGACAGACCAUUUAACCACUGGAUCUGGGGCAACAAAGGUGGAUCAAUCGUGAAUCCUUCACUAAAAAGCUUGCUUUGUAAUAGAUGAAACAGUUUAAUUUUUAAAUCUAGUGUUAUAAGGGUUUAAGUAGUAGCACACUGUCAAACUUCUGUUGGAAUGAAAAGAAUAAGAACUGACGACCACAAAAAAGCAAUUCUGCUUAAACCAGUGUCUCUCACCCUUGGCACUAUUAAAUUAUCAGUACAGGCGGUCCGUGACUUCUGAUGGUUCAACCUACGAUUUUUCAACUCUACAACAGUGCAAAAACAAAAACAAAAAACAAAACAACAACAACAAAAAAAGUGUUGUCAGUUUGUUCAUCGACUUAUGAUGGAGUUACAUCCUGAUAAAAUAGUGGUUAGUUGAAAACAUUAAUAUUUUUUAUUUUACUUUAAGUUCUGGGAUAUAUGUACAGAACAUGCAGGUAUGAUGCAUAGAUAUACAUGUGCCAUGGUGGUUUGCUGCACCUGUCAACCUGUCAUCUAGGUUUUAAGCCCCACAUGCAUUAGGUAUUUGUCCUAAUGCUCUCCCUCCCCUUGCCCCCAACCCGCCGACAGGCCCCAGUUUGUGAUGUUCCCCUCCCUGUGUCCAUGGGUUCUCAUAAACAUUAAUAUUUUCAACUUACAAUGGGUUUAUCGAGAUGUAAUCCCAUCAUAAGUCAAGGACCCUCUGCACUGAAUAUACUUCAUUGUGGAGGGCUGUCUUGUGCAUCAAAGGAGGGUUAGCAGCAUCCCUGGCUUCUACCCAUUAGGUGCUGUGGCAUACCUUCUUCCACUGUUGUGACAACCAAAGUGUCUCCAGACAUUGCUAGAUCGGGCAAAAUUGUGCCCAGUUGAGAAUCACUGGCUUAAAAGGAAAAAGGCCAUUGCAUGGAUGUGCAAUAACACCUUUAGCCAUUUCCUAAUGAUGUCAUUUAAUCAGUUAGGAUUUUUGUUUUGUUUUUAGUAUUUUGCUGUUACAAAUAAAGCUGCAAUGAACAUUG